rnacentral:rRNA from 2 species
UGAAGCCUUUCGGGGUGGAUUAGUGGCGAACGGGUGAGUAACACGUGGGCAAUCUGCCCUUCACUCUGGGACAAGCCCUGGAAACGGGGUCUAAUACCGGAUGAUACUUCCACUCGCAUGGGUGGGGGUUGAAAGCUCCGGCGGUGAAGGAUGAGCCCGCGGCCUAUCAGCUUGUUGGUGAGGUAGUGGCUCACCAAGGCGACGACGGGUAGCCGGCCUGAGAGGGCGACCGGCCACACUGGGACUGAGACACGGCCCAGACUCCUACGGGAGGCAGCAGUGGGGAAUAUUGCACAAUGGGCGAAAGCCUGAUGCAGCGACGCCGCGUGAGGGAUGACGGCCUUCGGGUUGUAAACCUCUUUCAGCAGGGAAGAAGCGAAAGUGACGGUACCUGCAGAAGAAGCGCCGGCUAACUACGUGCCAGCAGCCGCGGUAAUACGUAGGGCGCAAGCGUUGUCCGGAAUUAUUGGGCGUAAAGAGCUCGUAGGCGGUCUGUCGCGUCGGAUGUGAAAGCCCGGGGCUUAA